AGAGUUUGAUCAUGGCUCAGAUCAACGCUGGCGGCGUGCCUAACACAUGCAAGUCGAACGAGAAAGGGGAGCAAUCCCUGAGUAAAGUGGCGACCGGGUGAGUAACACGUGACUAACCUACCCUCGAGUGGGGAAUAACUCCGGGAAACCGGAGCUAAUACCGCAUAACAUCAUUGGAACGCAGGUUCUGGUGAUCAAAGGAGCAAUUCGCUUGAGGAGGGAGUCGCGGCUGAUUAGCUAGUUGGCGGGGUAAUGGCCCACCAAGGCUUAGAUCGGUAGCCGGCCUGAGAGGGCGCACGGCCACACUGGAACUGAAACACGGUCCAGACUCCUACGGGAGGCAGCAGUGGGGAAUUUUGCGCAAUGGGGGAAACCCUGACGCAGCAACGCCGCGUGGAGGAUGAAGUCCCUUGGGAUGUAAACUCCUUUCGACCGGGAAGAUACUGACGGUACCGGUGGAAGAAGCACCGGCUAACUCUGUGCCAGCAGCCGCGGUAAUACAGAGGGUGCGAGCGUUGUUCGGAAUUAUUGGGCGUAAAGGGCGCGUAGGCGGUGCGGUAAGUCACCUGUGAAAUCUCCUGGCUCAACUGGGAGCUUGCAGGCGAAACUGCCGUGCUGGAGUGUGGGAGAGGUGCGUGGAAUUCCUGGUGUAGCGGUGAAAUGCGUAGAUAUCAGGAGGAACACCUGUGGCGAAAGCGGCGCACUGGACCACAACUGACGCUGAUGCGCGAAAGCUAGGGGAGCAAACAGGAUUAGAUACCCUAGUAGUCC
rnacentral:rRNA from 1 species